CAGGGAGACAACAAAAUGUUUAAUAUUAUUAUUUUGUCACCUUAGGUCGAUCGGUACCUCACGUUCUUGAUUCAUUAAGAAUUUCUUUUCCUAAGUUUUUCUAGGUCACACCCAUUAUUUUUCCUGGGCCAUUAGCUCAGGUGGUUAGAGCGCACCCCUGAUAAGGGUGAGGUCCCUGGUUCAAGUCCAGGAUGGCCCAUAUCUCUAUGUUGGGGGUAUAGCUCAGUUGGUAGAGCGCUUGCUUUGCAAGCAGGAUGUCAGCGGUUCGAGUCCGCUUACCUCCACUGAUUACCACCUCUUCCAUAAUCUGUAGAAAGGAAAUUUUUUGAGUUGUGAUCAAAUUCUGAACGAAUCUAGCUUCCUAAUGUAACUAUUAAGAUGCUGGACUCAUUGAAUUAAUUUCAUUGUUUUCAGAGAACCUUGACAACUGCAUAGAUUAUUUUUAAAGACAAUAAGCAUCUUUAAUGAUGCAGAUUUAUUAUUUGUGCGAAUGCAUUAAUAACAAUUCUAUUAAGCUGAUGCUUCAAUUUUGAAGUUAUU
rnacentral:tRNA from 1 species